rnacentral:rRNA from 1 species
UACAGAGGGUGCAAGCGUUGUUCGGAAUUAUUGGGCGUAAAGCGCGUGUAGGCGGCAUGGCAAGUCGGGUGUGAAAGCCCUCAGCUUAACUGAGGAAGUGCGCCCGAAACUGGCGAGCUUGAGUGUCGGAGAGGAUAGCGGAACACCCGGUGUAGAGGUGAAAUUCGUAGAUAUCGGGUAGAACACCAGUGGCGAAGGCGGCUAUCUGGACGACAACUGACGCUGAGACGCGAAAGCGUGGGGAGCAAACAGG